UUGGUGGCGACCGGCGCACGGGUGAGUAACGCGUAUGCAACCUACCCUGUACAGGGGGAUAGCCCGGAGAAAUUCGGAUUAAUACCCCAUAAAGAUAUCGAGAGGCAUCUUUUGGUAUUUAAAGUUUCGACGGUACGGGAUGGGCAUGCGUAACAUUAGCUAGUUGGUAGGGUAACGGCCUACCAAGGCGACGAUGUUUAGGGGUCCUGAGAGGGUGAUCCCCCACACUGGUACUGAGACACGGACCAGACUCCUACGGGAGGCAGCAGUGGGGAAUCUUGCGCAAUGGGGGAAACCCUGACGCAGCAACGCCGCGUGGGUGAUGAAGGCCUUCGGGUCGUAAAGCCCUGUCAGGUGGGAAGAACCGUAUCGGUACAAACAGUGCCGAUGCUUGACGGUACCACCGGAGGAAGCACCGGCUAACUCCGUGCCAGCAGCCGCGGUAAUACGGAGGGUGCAAGCGUUGUUCGGAAUUACUGGGCGUAAAGCGCGUGCAGGCGGUUGAGCAAGUCAGAUGUGAAAGCCUUCCGCUUAACGGAAGAAGUGCAUUUGAAACUACUCGGCUAGAGUUCGAGAGAGGAGAGUGGAAUUCCCGGUGUAGAGGUGAAAUUCGUAGAUAUCGGGAGGAACACCGGUGGCGAAGGCGGCUCUCUGGCUCGAUACUGACGCUGAGACGCGAAAGCGUGGGGAGCAAAC
rnacentral:rRNA from 1 species